AGAGAGAGAGAGGCGAUGAGGCCUGGGACACGGAGAAAGAAACAGAGAAAAAGGAGGAAGGAAGAUGAAGCGGCCUUCAGCAUAAGCACGAAAAAAGCCUUUCCCAGGAACUCUCGAUAUCAGACCAUUCUUUCUCGAGGUAGAGAGGAACAGAGACAGAGUUCGUAAGAGGGAGAACCGUCAGACUCCUGUGACCCCACGAAAUCCUGCGACGCUUGAAGAGAAAGAACAGAAGCCUGCCGCCACCAGUCAGCCAGCGAAACCACUACCGGUAAAACGGUAAAACUGAUUUCUUUCGUUUUCCCUUUCAGUUGUAGUGCUUUGGAUUUUAUUUCUUAAUCUUCUUCUCCUUCUGAGUGAAAAUUUGUUUGUUAAAAAAAAAAACUCUGCCAUUUUUUUUCUACCGUUUGGAGGAGAAUGAAAAAAUAAAGGUCUCACGUAGGGGAAGAUAGAGAGAGGCUGGAACCACUACUGGUGAGUUUUUAUCUUUGCAUUUAAGUUUGUUUGUUAAAUAUGAUUAGGUUUAGAUAUUUUGUUUGGAUUGGUUUUGAUUUGGAUCAGGCUUUGGUAUUUUUUUGGGUCUUUUUUAUCUCCACAUUUAAGUUUGUUUAAUAAAUAUGAUUACGUUUCAAAAUCAAUUUCUCUA